rnacentral:miRNA from 1 species
UCACCGGGCAUUCCUAUGACGAA